rnacentral:rRNA from 1 species
AGAGUUUGAUCCUGGCUCAGGAUGAACGCUGGCGGCAGGCUUAAUACAUGCAAGUCGAACGGUAACAUGAGAAAGCUUGCUUUCUUGAUGACGAGUGGCGGACGGGUGAGUAAUGCCUGGGAAGCUGCCUGAAUGAGGGGGACAACACCUGGAAACGGGUGCUAAUACCGCGUAUACCCUGAGGGGGAAAGACCGGAUACGGUCACAUUCAGAUGCGCCCAGGUGGGAUUAGCUAGUUGGUGGGGUAACGGCCUACCAAGGCGACGAUCUCUAGCUGGUCUGAGAGGAUGAUCAGCCACACUGGAACUGAGACACGGUCCAGACUCCUACGGGAGGCAGCAGUAGGGAAUAUUGCACAAUGGGGGGAACCCUGAUGCAGCCAUGCCGCGUGAGCGAAGAAGUAUUUCGGUAUGUAAAGCUCUAUCAGCAGGGAAGAAAAUGACGGUACCUGACUAAGAAGGACCGGCUAAUUCCGUGCCAGCAGCCGCGGU